GACAGAUUAAACUUGCAGCAGAACAUAAAGAGCUUUACCAAGGCAAGUGGUCGAACCUUGAUGUUGCAUCAUGGCCAGUUAUAGAGAAGAUCACAACACAAAUGCAAACCGAUGGGGUAUCUUGCGGGCUAUGGAUGAUAAACUAUAUGGAAUACUGGACAGGAUCCUCCCUAUCUGAUAACGUAACUCAGGAUGAUAUAACAAUGUUUAGGUUUAAGCUACCUGCAAUAUUAUGGGACUCGAGAUUAAACACAAAGAAAGGACAUCAAAAUCUUGACCACAAUGUGGAUGAAGAUGGAGAGAGUUCAAGUGAUGUUCAAAUAAUCGAUACUCCAUGUGAGUUAUCUAAAUCGUCAAAUACAUCACAUCAGAUUGAACCAUAUAUAUCUCCAUAUGUUCUGCCUGCUAAAGUAACAUCAACAAACACGCAAGAACUGAUGUUUGUAUUAUGCACAUAUAUCAUGGG